rnacentral:lncRNA from 1 species
ACACACACACACACACACACACACACACACACGUGCAUGCAUGCAACCCUGGCUUGGUUUCCAGAGCCUGGAGCUCCCCCAUCCAAGGGAGGCCCUGCGUGGACACCUAUGAUUAUGGACAUACACGUACGUGUGGGUGCCUGUGCAAGGGUGUGUGAGUCUCUAUGCUGUGUACAUGUGAUGUUGCUUGGCUUCCCCAGAGCCUAAUGCCUCCCACGGCUCCCCACUGCUGACCAGAAAAAUCGUAAGGACCCAGCUACUCAUGAGGGGCCUGUCAGGAGGAGUCUAUGUGCAAGUCCAUGAGUUCUGCAAGGCCAGGGCCCCACCUGAACCAUCCAACCUCCUGGGCCUGGCUUACAGUUGGUGCCUAAUAAAUGACUGUGCAGGAAUGAUGGGCCUGCAGGUAAGACAGGUGAGACAGGCCAGAUGACAGCCUCAGUUACCCCUUCCCCAACUUUGGGAAGGUGGUCUCAGCCCUCAGCAAUCCUAGGACCCCUCACGGAGGCUGUUGGCAGGAAAGGACUCGUCCCAGAUGCUGUGUCCUCGCCUGACCUUGUAUUCUGCCCCACCUAGUGGCCCUAAGGGAGGCUGAGGUACUGAGCUCUUGGCUGUGACUAAGCGGAAGGAAGACAGAAAGGAGGGGUGAUACUGGGGCCCUAGGGUUUUGCUUCUCAUUUCUCUCUUUCCAAAGCACAGUUAGUUCCCAGAAAUGAAGGUACCCAGAAACAGUGAAACUCUGGGCUUUCAGGGGCACAGGGUCCCCCAGUCUUUCCACCCUUGGAGGCACCACCAAGGGCCUGGGUAAGUCCCUAGCCCAUGUCUACUCAUGGAGUACUUGGGGCAACCACACUGGAGCCUGGUGGGGCUCCCAAGGACCUUUCAGGAGCAUGUGGCCCAGAUUGAUUUGCUGUGACAGAUGCUGGGUGGGAGGUGCCGGGAGCCUCAGGCUAUGGGGGCUGGAGCAGUUGGGGCAGACCUCCGGGAAGGGAAUGGUCACGUGGGGCAUCAAGUGCCCCAGAUGCCCCACCCCACAGGAGUUCCUUUCGUCCAUCCUUUCACUCUUCCUCUUUUUUUUUUUUGAAACAGUCUUGCUGUCGCCCACGCUAGAG